rnacentral:misc_RNA from 1 species
GAUGAAGAACGUAGUGAAAUGCGAUAAGUAAUGUGAAUUGCAGAAUUCAGUGAAUCAUCGAAUCUUUGAACGCACAUUGCGCCCCUUGGUAUUCCGAGGGGCAUGCCUGUUCGAGCGUCAUUAUAACCCCUCAAGCUCAGCUUGGUGUUGGGACCUGCCGCACGGGCAGCCCUUAAAAUCAGUGGCGGUGCCAUCUGGCUCUAAGCGUAGUAAUUCUUCUCGCUAUAGAGUCCCGGUGGAUGCUUGCCAUUAACCCCCAAUUUUCUAUGGUUGACCUCGGAUCAGGUAGGGAUACCCGCUGAACUUAAGCAUAUCAAUAAGCGGAGGA